UGGAGGCAACUGCUGACGUUAGUAGCACCAGGACGUCACCAUCGUACGGACAAGGUGAACAGACACUGCGGUCACAAGUUGAUCUGGCCUUCUUGUGCGACCCAGAGGUGGCUGUGUGUCUGCUGUGACGACAGAAAUAGGUUAUACCGCAAGUCACCUGCGUGAUUUGAUUAGCACAGUGGUUUGACUGCGGUGUUGUUUUUUUCCCCUCAGUGAAUGAGUUCAAGUCCCGUUAUUGUUGUUGUUGUUUUACAGGGGUUAUAGUUUCCCUAUGUGAUGCACGUUUACUCAAACAGGGAAAAGACAGGAGUAAGUGUUUUUAAUAAAGGUUUAUUAGAGACACGCAUUCACAGGAAGAGUAACUCUCUUUUCCUGUUUACAACGUCCUCCGUAACAACCAGCAACUUUGAUACAGCGACUGUGGGUCGGACACGUUUAAUCAAACAGCAGCCCUAACACGUAUCAGGUAUGAUUUGACCAGAGAAAACCUGAACAAAGGGGCAGAUUUGAAGGCAGCUACGUCUUCUCUUCCCGUUGUCAACAUCUGUUGUAGCUUCGGUGACCACAGACGCAUUCGGCUGAAGAUCGCCAGUUAACAAAGCCCCGUGUUAAUCCGAAACAAAACACCGGCCAUUCAACAGAGGGUAAACCUGUCACGUCGUCCUUCCACUGAGUGAGCGCGUUAGGGUCGGUCAAGAUGGUCCCAUCUGCUAACAUAAUUUUUUUUCAAUAACACUCCCGAUCAUGUACAGUGAGUGUCUGUACAUACUGCGAUAAAUUCUAAAUUAAAACGAAAUUAAAGAUGAAAACACUUAACAACCAUUAUAAAACAUAACAAAAUCAAACACGAAUCUAGAGUUGUGACGUUCGCGAACGAACCGAUUCUUUUGAACGGCUCAUAAACAUGAACGAUAGGAGCCGAGUCGCGGCUGGGGGAGAGCCGUUCUUUUUUUCCCUAUGCGUGUUUUAAGCAGACGCACACAGAUUAACUCCUCCUUCGGUCUAUGCAUAGGGUCUAUGCUCCUUGCUCCUCCGCUAGAGACAGAACAGUUAGGGGGAGGGGCGCACACGCAGGAGUGCUACUGUUGUGCACGCAUUCUUCCCGUGAGUUCUCCAGUGGGAAAAAAAAUGAGCUAGAGGAGAAGGAGCAGCAUUUGGGUGCACUUUUCUCGCGAAGAAAACAGUAAGGCUAAAUGCAGCAUUUGUCAGAAAGUCAUUUCAUUUAAGUCUGGGUCAACAAAUAAUUUACACAGGCAUUUGAAGACUCAGCACCCAACAGUGCAGGUUUGAGAGCAGAGCAGAGCCAGACUCAGACAACAACAGUGACACUGCUGUGUCCAUUGCCUCCUCUGCCUCCACAUCUGAAUCUACAGCAGCCUCUGACCCCACUGGGCCCACCACAUUGCCUAGCCAGGCACGACCAAAAAGGCAGACAUCCAUCAGUCAGUAUUUACCUCCUGUCUUGACCCCAUUAAGACAGGAGAAGAUAGACGAAGAGCUGGCAAAGAUGAUAGGCACUGACUUCCAGCCUUUCUCAAUAGUGGAGGACACAGGAUUCAAAAAAUAUUCACAGGCGCUCAACCCCUCCUACAUUCCUCCAAGUAGGAAGACACUAGCUAAGAAGGUCACAGAUAUGUAUGACAGGGAGACAGCAUCUUUGAAGAGAGGGGUGUCAAAAGUACCAGCUGUCUGUUUAACCACAGACUGUUGGACUUCAAGAACGACAGAAUCAUAUAUGUCUGUAACCUGUCAUUUUAUUGAGGAUUUCCGUGUGGCUUCCUGCCUCCUGGACUGUUUUGAAUUCAGUGAGCGGCACACAGCAGACAACAUUGCACAACAGCUACUUAGUGUUGCAGCAGAGUGGGGGGUGGACAAGAAAGUAGUGUGCUGCCUAACCGAUGAUGUGCCAAAUGUUACAAAGGCAAUACAAACCAUUGGAUGGAUGCACCUACCAUGUCUGGCCCAUACCAUUAACCUGGUGGUCAGAGAUGCCCUGAAAGCUCCAAAGCCCAUCAUUGAUAAGGUCAAAGAGGUCGUGGAAUACUUUCACAGAAGCACUGUGGGGGCACAAAAACUGAAGUAGACUCAACUACAAAUGAAGAUGGAGGAGCUCUGACCCAAACAGGAUUGUCCUACAAGGUGGAAUUCCACCUACUACAUGUUGAAAAGCUUUAUUGCCAGUAAAAAUGCCAUAAUCUCCACCCUGGCCGUCACCAAUGCACCUGUCCGCCACCUGUCCCAGGAGGAAUGGACCACAGUGCAAGAAUUGUGCACAAUCUUGCAACCAUUUGAGGAAGUCACUGUGGAACUCAGUGCAGAAAGCUACUUGACAGCCUCGAAGGUCAUAGUGCUGGCCAGGGGACUUCAAAGAGCCACCGUUGAUUUCCGGCGAAACAUUACAACAGCAGCAGCGCAAGGUGUGAUCAACAGUCUGUGUGCAACUUUGUCAACGCGAUUCCACAAGAUUCAUGCCAACCAUAUACUAGCAGAUACUGCUGCACUGCACUGACCCUCAUUUUAAGAGGAUGGCCUUCCCUGAUGGCAGAACAGCACAUGAGACGUUUCAAAGGCUGUCAACUGCAGCAGCAAGAAUAAGCAGUGGCACACCCAUCCAGCAGCAACCAGCUGUGGAAGGACCGGAAGGAGCAGGCAGUGGUGCUGGAUCAAUAGUCUGGAGCUAUUUCCAUGAGGAAGUGGCUGGAACAGUGGAAGCCAGGAAUCCCACCGCCGAUGCUGUCAUGGAGGUGCGAGCCUACCUGGAGGAGCCUCUUCUUCCAACACAUGAGGAUCCCCUCAAGUGGUGGGAGAGUCGAGCCCCUAUUUACCCCAGGCUUAGCAAGCUGAUGGCCAGGAAGCUUUGUGUUGUGGCGACAUCAGUUCCCUCUGAGAGAAUAUUCUCGAAAACUGGCCAGAUAAUCUCAGAGAGGAGAAGUCCCCUUAAGCCCAAAAAGGUCAGAGCUCUUGUCUUCCUUAAUGCAAAUUUGCCCAAGGACAAGAGAGAGAGGCAGAAAAAGCCAUAAAGUCAGGAACUGCUUUGUAUUUAUUUACAUAGCAUUUUGUGUCAUUUAAAACUUGAAGGGGCUGAUGUCCUAUUUGCAAAGUUUACAGUAGUAAUAGUAGUAAUAGUUGACUGUAUGUAAACAUUUCCAUUUUAUUCAUUCUAAUUUUAUCUACAGUAUAUGACUGAUACUUUGAAUAUUUUUUAUUUUCUAUCAAAAUUUUCUUUUUUGUGAUACUGUUCUUGUAGACAUUUUUGCACUAAAAGCUGUUUUGCACAGACAUUCAUUGCAGCCCACUUUGUUAUUGUUCAUUUAAGACUUGAAGGGACUGAUGUCCUUUUUGCAAAGAUUACAGUAGUAAUAGUGGACUAUAUGUAGACAUUUUCAUUUAAUUUAUUCUAAUUUUAUUUACAGUAUAUGUCUAAUAUUUUAAAUAUUUUUUGUUUUCUAUCAAAACAUUCUUUAAGUAAUACUGUUCUUGUAGACAUCUUUGCACUAAAAGCUGUUUUGCACAGACAUUCAUUGCAGCCCACUUUGUUAUUGUUCAUUUAAGACUUGAAAGGGCUUAUCCUCUGUUUCCAAGUAGUAGUAAUAGUGGACUGUAUGCAGACAUUUACCUUUCAUUUUCUCAAAUUUUAUCUAUUUGUCUAGUAUUUAAAAUAUCUUUUGUUUUCUAUCAAAAUGUUCUUGUGUGAUAACAAUGUUCUU